ensembl:lncRNA
CGGUUGGGCUCCCGGGUGCAGACAUGGCACCGCUUGGCUAAGCCAUACUGUGUUACCAAGACUCCCUGGGUGGCAGCAAAAAAGUCAACAAGGAAAUAAAACUCCACCACCUGGCGUAUUAGUUGGGGAUAAAGCUAUACACAGGUAACAACUGGGUAUGUGCCCACAAGCCUCGGGGCAUUGUCGGCCCUGAAGGCUCAUCUGGAGUUACGGGGUUUUAAUUCCUCUUUCCAAGCCUGCCUGUUUAUCCUCCGCAUCUUCCAGUUCCUUUGCACCAUUUGAGCCUUAGGAAGCUGAGGCAGUAACAGCUUUGAAGCUGCUCCGCUGCCUUUGCCAGCCCACAUCGAUCGUUUGAUCCAAUUGCUUGCUGCUACCUCCAGCAAUCUCUUGGCAGAAUCUGUGCCAUUACAUCUCAUUGUCUUUUUAUUCUCAAACUCACAUCUUCUAAUGAUGCUAAAUCCUCUGUGCUUCCUAUUGUUUGAAAUGAACACUUGAAUGUAGCCCUGAAAAAAAAAAAAACCUCUCCAGCUCAUCUUAUCUGGGACUAAAGAAAUUAGGGAGGGUCCAGAGGAAGUCCUUGGCAGAGGAGCCAGGAGAAAUAUGCCGAACUUGACCACUCCUGCCUCAGCCUUCCUGGUUUAUUUCCUGGACCGCAUGCAGAGACCUCAAGGGCUGGAGACCCCACGGGGGCGGCAACAAGCUUGUGCUUGAAUCCUGGUUUCAGUAAGUCAGAGCUGGGUGACCCGAGGCAAGUGACUUAAAAUCUUCAUAUAUCAAAUUGCUUCUCUGUAAAAUAAUAGUACCUAUUACAUAAUUGCUGUAAGGGUGAUAUUUGGAAAUGUAUAUUAGACACUCAGCCUCAAAGCUGUAUCUAGAUUUGGUAGAGCCUGAAGUUUAUACCAAUAUACCCUUCCACAAAUGGUGAAAAGGGGUGAAGUAAUGUUUAUCAGAGCCUGAUAAUGGUCAGAGUAUUGUCCAUAGACUGAGAAGUAGACAGGAGUUAUGAGAAACAAAGGAGAAAAAAAGGAGAGGCAGAUCUAUGGAUUUAAAGAUCAAUGAUGUCUUCUGUUGACCUUCUGUUGAUGCUACUGAAAGACAUUCCAUGGGAAGAUCAAGGGGAAAACCUCUCCACUUCUAGGAUGUCCAAGAAGAACAGAGGUCUGCUGAAGUCCUGGGAGAAGAUCCUGGACAGAUCAUGUAGUUCAGCUGAAGAUAGGAGCAAAGAGUGGGGAGUAGUCCCCACUCCUGAAAGGUGGUGAUAAAUAAAUGAAAAACAAUGGGAUAUAGUGGAGUAUAUGGGGAAGCCAUUUGGUUUAAAACUAAUUUGGCCUGACAUUUUUCCUAAAGGGCCUGACGUGGCCUGCUGAGCAUGCAUUAUACAUCUAGUUUAAAUAUUCACUGUGUCCGAAACACAAGAAUGAUGGCCCUAAAGAAAGGCAUGUAGCUUCCUCCCAUAUCGGCAUUUCUUUGAGGAUAAGCAUCUCUUCCUGGAAACUAAGGAUUUAUCACUGACCUGCUGUGCUCACUUUGUGACCACUGACCUGCAGACAACCAAUCUGCUGUGCCAGCUGAGCAUCUCAUGACAAUUGUAAAGGGACAUUCCUCUCAUAUGUGAUGUAUACUCUUUGUUCCAAGAUGGUAUAUAACCGUUCUGUACAUUCCACUUCUUUGGUGCCCUUCCUUCCUUGGGGAAAGACAACCCCAGUCUGGUCCUCAGAUCUGGCUUAUAAUAAAUUCACCCCAAUUUUGAUUUAUAGAUUGAGCAUGAAUUAUUUGCAUCAACUGUAGAAAGCAAUUCAUGAACAAAGAAAAGUCCACAGUUUGGGAGAAUAGACCAGAAUAUGAGAGAGGAGGCAAAACACAUCAUAUUCUUGGGAAGGAAGAUGGCAGAAGCUGCAUUGGAAAACAGUCAGCUCUAUCCUUUGGCCAUAGCAUCCUGAAAAGAAGAGAAAUCUGAAAGCAUUCUACACCCACAGCGAGCAGCAAGCAGGCCUUCUUCUGAAUUAGCAGUCCCCAUCAUGUGAGGACACACAGCAGUUUCCUCCAGCAGAAUCACCAAGCCCUGCAGCAACCUCAGGAGCCAAGAGUGAGAAGAUCUCCUCGUCAGGGUGCAUGUAGGGGUGUGAAUUAAGUGAUAGUGGGAUUUCUGCUUAUUAUGGGACCCCGAGAGACCCUGGGACACAUGGGGACUUCGGUUAUUCUCACCCACCUACUGCAGAACUGAAAACAUUGGAUUGUUUUGUGAUUUUCUCUCUAAAUUUAACUUUAUUCAGACACACUGUAGUUAAGGCUUAUAAAGAGUCCAGUCUUUCAGUACAUUUCCAGGAUGGCAGCUAAAGCCAAGAAGGAAGCAAUCGCCCUCCACCUUCACCCCAUAGAAUAAGGUUACCUGCCCCUCCGUUCUGAAAACUGGUGGACUCCAAAGUUAAGCUUGUCAGAGCCUUCCUGCUUCGAGGCCUCCACAUCUCUUCCAGGCGGCUGCUGGACCUCAUCAGUCAGCUCAGUUUUACCCAAAUCUCAAGGGUCAAUCUCUACCGAUCUGGGAAGAAUUUACGCAGUUUUCAUGGUAUCAGUUUCUCCUCAAUGCUCUGGCUCUGAGUGGUACAUAAUCCUGUUUAAAUGCCUGGAUCCUUUCUUUCCAGAUAAAGCCCACUACCAGAUGGCUCAACAUCAGCUGGGCGGGUGCUCCUACAAGUCCCCCUGCUCCUUGGACCUCUCUGUUUUGGCCUGUCCCACUGGCUCUCUUGCUUCAUCUCAUGCUGUUUCCUCUGCCUGAAACCUUCUUCCUGUAGAUUUUUGCAUGACUCACUUCUGCCUACUAUUCAGGUCCAGCUUAAAUCUCAACUCCUCAGAGAACCCUCUUGUGAGUAAUUUACCUAAAACAUGGCAUACCUUUGCCAUUCUCUUUCACCUUACCUGCAAUUGUAGAAGUUAUUUAUUUACACUCAAUAAAUGAGAUAAUAAAUAUCUCUUUCCUCCACUAGAAUACAAAAUCUACAAAGGAGCCGCUUUGUCUUGUUUACCAUGAAAACCCCAGGACCUAGGGAAACUUAAUAAAUAUUUCUUGAUUGACAGGGUACUGUAUUCUACCUCCCCACUGAUUUUUUUUUUUCCAGCAACAGCAUCUUGGUUUUUCUCUUCAGCAUUAGCCCCAAGUUAACAAGUCCAGUCCAGCUCUGUCCCAAGAAACAAAAUUUCACAUUGACAGAGAAUUAUAUGAAUGCACUUUGAACAAAUAUUCGUGAUUUUCUAUACUGGAAAAUUUUAACUAAGUUCAGGCUUCCAGAAAACAUUUGUUAUUAUAUCAGCCACCUGUGGGGUUCUCUGUACUUUUUCUAGAAAGUGUAUAUAGGACUGGGAAAAACAGAGGAGCAUCAGUAAAUUAUAACGCUCAAAAAACUCCCACUUGGCUUCACAAUAGAAAUGAAUAAUGGAUAGAAUUCCCCCCUCCCACUGCUGCUUUUGCAGAAGGACACGGUACUACACUAUAAGUUCCAUACAUCAGAACUACGGCUGGCUUGUUCAUUUCUGUAAACCAAGUACCUGGACAGCUCUUGGUAUGUGGGUGGUGCUCAACUAAUGCAUGUUGAAUUCUUGUUGAAUGAAUCCAGGGACCAGAAUCAUAAACAUUUGCCAGUUACCGAACAGAGUCUUGGGCCUUGAGAAGAAAGGAGUUGGCCAUAGGACCCCAGAGUUAGUGCUGCCGGAGUCAGUAGAAGACCCAAACAUUAGCACACCAAGGAGUGGCAGGCUGGAGAACAUCUUUGCUGAUUUUAUGAUUUUACCUAUAGUACCUGAGUACCCUUUACUCACUAGAACUCGGCUCCUCAUAGUAAGUCAAUUCUAUAAUGGGGAAUUUCAUUCUUUCAUUAUAUUGAAGGCAUUUAAGGUCUAAUAAAAAGGGUUAUGCCUUGACUUGGUGUCAGAAAUUAAAAGGAAGACAUAAUUUGCAUAUUUUGACAAUACCUUCACAUAUUCACCUAUGUGAUCCUUGCUUGAACACCCUUGCAAACAUGUGAGAAUCAGGAUUCCAUAAUCCCACUCUUCAGUGGUUUCCUCUGGAGGGUCAUGUACAUGUGUUCCCAUCUUGCUUUCUCCCUGCCUUCCGAUUUUACUCAUAUGCUUGGUAAUCACAAGGGUGGGCUGGUGGCGGAAAGCAGAGCAUUGGGCACUGGUGCAGGCAGAUGUUUGCAUGUUUUCCUUUUACCCUGAACAUGAGGUCAUGUCAACGUUUGCAAUUAGCCCUGGAAUUAGCCCUUACCUUAAAGAUAACAUUAUCUUUUUCCUGGAAAUGAUCAAACUCUGAGCAGUAACAUCAGAUCGUAUCACAGUCCCUCCAGAGUGCCUCAAUGCUUUUAAUAAAUACAUGGCAGAGAAAAUGUUUUUCUUGAUUCUAGCUGUGUUCUAUAACAAAAGCUGAAACUGCACAAGGGUGAGGUAUUGCGAUAUUCUCACAAGUGCUAAAAGGGAUCCCAACUGUCCAAAAUAGGUCCAUGUGUCCAGAUGGAGACCAUUAUAUUUGCAUGUGAUGUCUAAGCCUCUUUUCUGGCACACUAUUGUUUAAGAAACCACUUUUCUUGCUAUGCCCUGAUAAUCUCACCUCAUUUCCGCCAAGAGCAGGACAGAAUCAGAACAGCAUGACCAAGAAUCCGCUCUAAAAUGUGAUUUCAAAUGGAGAAGAAUGAAGCAGUUUUUCGGAGACCUGGAAAGCACACAUUGUUUAGGUUGACCCAAAGCCAUCCCCAGGAGUCCAGGGAGUGCCAUACAUGAGAAUGAAGAAGCCUUCAAGAUGACGCUAGCCCUAGCUGCUGCCUGUAACGAUCGAGAACUGGAAGCCAGAAAUGCCCAGAGGGGACUAGCUGAUCCCAGAACCAUAAGAGAUACUAAUAAAUUAUUACUGUUUUAAGCUGCAAUAAAUAAUUAGAACAGAAAGCACAUUGCACAUAAUGUGAUGUAGAACUCAACCCAGGUGAUUCUCCUGCUCACUACUGAGUACAAAUGUGAGCACACAGAGACAAAGUAAUGUCUCACGGGACAGCAGAGUUGGUAGCUGUCUGCUGCUAUGGUUUGAGGGAGACUCAAUGGAACCUCCCUCGGGGGACUGCUCAGGCCCCUGACUGCUCCCAUAGUAAUUGCUUCUUUAGGAUCUGCAACCUGGCACACUUGCAGAAUGUUAGAGACCCACAUCCAGUGGGUUUCAAACUAGGAACAUUUGGGAUUUGGGGAAGGGACUGCCAAGCAGAUAGGGUGCAAAGGAAGCCUGGUGGGUACAGCUUAUUCCUUUCUCUGUUCUCAGGGACAGGGCUUCUUCCCAGCCUCACAGGUGGGACAUGUGAACUAAGUGGCCAAUCAGUGCAAUACUUUCCUCUGGCCCUUGUGAUUGGUGUAGGCUCAGACAUGUGGUUCAUGCCAGGCCAAUCAAAAUGAACGUCAGGACGUUCACAGGGAAUGCUGGGGAAAAGAUGCUCACUCUUUUUCAGUACGUUGGAAUUUAGAAGAAUAUUGUUCUGGGACUUCUAGAAGCCAUCCUGUGAUGAGGAGGGGCAGAGGAUCCUGGGAAUGGAGUAGAAAGAGGGAAACAGAGUGGAGAGGAGACAGAAACAAACAAACAAAACUGACCCUGCUCACUUUGUUUGUACCUCUGUAUCCAGCUAUUCUUGAAGCUGGAUCUUCCUGGACUAUUUUGUAAUGUGAGCC